CCCUUAGAUGUUCUGGGCUGCACGCGUGCUACACUGAUUAUUUCAACAAGUGUUUUAACUGGAGAGUUCGCGUAAUCCUGAAAUGUUAUCGUGAUGGGAGUAGAGUAUUGUAUUUGUUAAUCUUUAACGAGGAAUUCCUAGUAAGUGUAGGUUUAUAAGUUGUUCUGAUUACGUCCCUGCCCUUUGUACACACCGCCCGUCGCUCCUACCGAUUGAUUGAUCCGGUGAAUUACAUAGAAUUUUGCGUUUUACAUGACGGAAGACGAAGUGUUUUAAACCUUAUCAUCUAGAGGAAGGAGAAGUCGUAACA
rnacentral:rRNA from 1 species